rnacentral:lncRNA from 1 species
UUGGCAUCCUCAGAGCUUUAUGGCUGCAUUAAAAAAAAACAGUUGGCCUGACUUUCACAAGCUUUUGUGAGAUGAAGCUCACUUCCCAACCAGAGUUCACACUUGGGGCCUGAUCAUCUCUAUCUGCACAAGUUAUUUCUGACGUAAUUCCUCUGACAUGAUCCACAGAUCCUGAGACUCUGAAAACCCUGGAGUCCAGUCAUCACCUUACUGGUCAUGGGGGGAAAACAGAAUCCUUGUGGUCGUCAGUUUGGGGAUGGAAAGAAGAUAUUAUUUUGCCCUCCACUCAUUAUAAUGCAAAAUCCAUGCAAUACAGAGUAUGUCGUGCUCAACAUGGUUCCAUAGUUUAAUCAAUAACAUCCAUUUGACUGAAACUGAUAAUAAAAGUAUUGGGAGAAACA